UCCUCCCUCUUUCCUCGUGCUUAACACAUGCAAGUCGAACGGAAAGGCCCUGCUUGCAGGGUGCUCGAGUGGCGAACGGGUGAGUAACACGUGGGUGAUCUGCCCCUUACUUUGGGAUAAGCCGGGGAAACUGGGUCUAAUACUGGAUAGGACCAUGCUGUAGGUGGUGUGGUGGAAAGAUUAGUUUCGGUAAGGGAUGAGCUCGCGGCCUAUCAGCUUGUUGGUGGGGUAAUGGCCUACCAAGGCGUCGACGGGUAGCCGGCCUGAGAGGGUGGACGGCCACAUUGGGACUGAGAUACGGCCCAGACUCCUACGGGAGGCAGCAGUGGGGAAUAUUGCACAAUGGGCGAAAGCCUGAUGCAGCGACGCCGCGUGGGGGAUGACGUCCUUCGGGUUGUAAACUCCUUUCAGCCAUGACGAAGCCCUUGUGGUGACGGUAGUGGUAGAAGAAGCACCGGCUAACUACGUG
rnacentral:rRNA from 1 species